ensembl:lncRNA
UAAAUAUGUAAAUAUUUUCCUCCACAAGUGCAGUUUAUAUUCUCAGUGUGAACAUGGAGACAACAUUGUACAAUUUACUUUAUAAUUAACACAUGACCGUUUCAUUUGAUUUAAUUGCAUAAAUAUUUGUCAAAUAAGUCUUAAUGGAAAACAAAACUUCUUACAGUUUCUUGUACAUGUAUACAGAGAAAUCCAUCCCCCAGCAGACCUGUUUACAUGAUUAGAGGAGGCACGAUGAGGAAAUGUUAGAACAUUGCACUAAUAAAAUGACGUACGAGUGCAGGGGCUUCCGUCACGAUAAAGGAGUACCAGAUUUGAUCAAACUGCUUAAAUUUACCCUUCAGACGGGGUCUAAUUCGCUCAGGUGUAAAGCAGAAAUCAACUCUCUAAGCCAUAACUGGACCGCGGGAGCCGCCUUUUCCUUCCACAACAGCUGCAGUAACUUCUUGGCUGGAAUUAAAAUAUACACAAGCGAUCUGUGUUGCGUUCCUGAUGAUGCACGCGUACCAUCAGACAGUCCUGUUGGAUUUGCACCCGAACGAAAUAUUAUAAACUGAAUGAAUAUUUAACAAAAGCUCCGGGGAAAGUCCACGUCGUGUUCGUUUAACCAUCGCAGGAAUGAACGCAAAACCAAGCAAACUCUGCGAUAUUCGGAGGCGCGUGCGAUUUUUCACAAUUACUGCAGGUGUUUGCCGAGACGCGUCAUGUGACGUCAUCACAACGCCCUGCUCGAUUCACGUGCGUCCAACACGAGUACAGCUGAAAGCUCUCAUUGACCAACAAACAUCAAGUUCGUGCGAUUCGAGUAGAUUUCCGCAAAAAAAGCACAAAAAUAAAAACUCCACGAAAUCCUGCAGGGACUGAAAGUUUAAGAAAAAGUAAGUGUAGGAUCGAAAUAAAAUUCUUAACAGCUAAUAACCUUUAACGUGCGAUUAUGAAUAAUUUCAUUAAAUAAUUCAACAUGUAAUUACUCAGUUCUUUUCAAGCAGUUUGAGACACUAAUGUUAUUAACGCUUCUCCUCAUUUAGAUUCAAUUCAAACCUAUUUAAAAUAUUGACUUUUUCUACCACGAAUCCCAGGUUUUUAGGGAAAAGGGAAACUCAGGAAGCUUCAGAUUCACGUGUGAGUCAUCGCCGUGAUUAACGUCACGAUCAAACGUUUCGUUCAUUAGUGUUUCCUGUAGAUUCCUCAUUACCGACCUGCUGACUGAGGACCUGAUCACCAUCUCUCUCUCUCUCUCUCUCACACACACACACACACACACACAC